rnacentral:lncRNA from 1 species
CUUGUGUUUUGGACUAUAAAUAUCCUUCCUCCUUUCCCCAUUUCUUUCAUUGUACUUUGCCUUUGGUUUUGUGACCCAAGUUCUGUCAAGAGGCAGAGCCUCUGCUUCUCCUCUGUUUCUCUACAGAGGACUUCUGAGUUCCACCACUCACAAAUCCUUCUUCUGAUUUUCUAAUCUCAUUUCUCUCUCGUAAUUCUCUUCAAAUUAUUUCUGCUUCUGCUUCUCCAUUCUCUCUCUAAAUUUCUAUAAAAUCUCCUCCCUCUGUGAUCCAAAUUCCAUCUUUACUUCCCUUUACUUUGUCUUCUCUGUGCUUUCCUUGUCAUCGUAACACGCGUAGCGCAACCAUGGAAACCACUUCUUCGACACCCCAAAAGAACAAAACCAUAACCUUUCCUGCGAUUCCGAGGAGAGGCCAGAUCAAGCUUCAGAUUUUUGGAAACAUGGUCAAAGCUGUGUCCAACAUGACCUCCAAACCCGGAGCUCAGGGGAAAAACAGAGGAGAAGGCGGCGGAUACUCAGCCUCCACAACCCCAUCACUAAGCGCCUAUAACUCUGAUGCCAAUUCCGACAUCUGAUAGACCUGACCAGGUGGGAAGAUGGGUUAUGCAGCUCAACUCUGAACCUCUCCGGUUCGUGCUCCGAAUCAUUUCGUAAUCCCACUUCUCUAUGAAGCUAUGAAGCUUCUGCUAUGUUGUUUGAAUAUAAAGUUUUUCGUUUCUGUUUUUGGGCUUUUAGGGUUUCUAGAAAUCAAACAUGGGUCAUGUGUUGAAUUAUGUUCCUGCAGAACUCAUAUUUUUGGAGAGUUUUUCAGGAUCAUAACCCAUCUUAGCUUUUAUCUUGUAUUUCAAUUUCUUCAUAAUUUAGUCGUGUGGAGGCAAAAGAAAAGGAGAAAAAAAAGAGCUUCUUUCCAGGGUUGUUUCUGCGAGUUUUAGAGAGGAGACAUAUUUGGAAGAGGCAGUUUGUGCAUAUAAAGGGUAUUUUUCUGUCUUUGUAUUUGCUUUAUUGCGUAAUUGUUGUAUGAUAAAGUGGUUUAAAUAUUAUUUGGAUUUUGUAUUUUAUUUUUGGUAUACUUUGAUUAAAUAUAGAAAGUGGUUUUCGCACACUAAUUUUCUCCUUGUGAUGUUUGCGUUUCUUUCUUCAUUUUUUUACCUUGAUUCUCCUUUUAAUUCAAUCUAAAAAUCAUACUAAAGGAAAGAAGUGCGAAAAAUGGUGUAUGAUAAACCACUCAAUGAAAUUAGUCUCCUUAACCCUUAACUCCAUCCGAAGUUUUUUCUCACCGUUUUUCAUCUUCUGCACAUUCACUCUUAAUUUGGUGUUUAAUCUCAUUUAAUUUAUUAAGACCAAUAUCUAAAAAAAAAAGAUAUGUGAGGAAAGUGAAAACGUGAUCAAAAUCUCUUCUUUCUUCCAUAAUAUUUCUCAUGUGGCUCCAAAUGUUUCCAUUUACAUGUUCUUCGAUGCAUUUUGGUAAUCUGCUUCUUAAUAUGUUUAAUUCAGCAUAGUUGAAGCAUAAAUCUCCCCAUUUUAUAGAGGUGCACGGAAACCUUUUUAGGAAAAAAUAUGAUUUUUAUAAGUCAAUUUCACCCAAAUUCCAAGUUAUUUAAAAUUUUGAAAAAUAAAUGGUUGGACUUUUUCCAUGUUUUUUGGUUUGGUUGAUCCUUAGAUGUUCAGAUGCGUUUCUAAUUUUUGUUUCUUUUCUAGUAUUGUAUAUUGUAUGGCAUAAUGUCUAGGUAGGGUCCGUAGGGAUCAAUAGUGUAUAAAGAAUGUUGGUUGGUAACACUUAAAAAGUUAUAUAUACAAGAUUGCUCAAGUGCUAAUAAAUUAGUAAAAUAAUAUAAUCGUACUUUACAUAUCUGAACUGACUAAUUUGUCAUUUUUGAAAAAGUUGGUAACCAAUGAAAUCACAGUAAUAAUCAAAUGACUUACAAUUUUUUAUUUGUUAAUUUCUUGCGAGGAUGACAUGUUAGCCCAUUAAUAUUAAGAAAAACUAAUGAAAAUUGUUUGAAAAUUUUGAGUUUUAAUGAUAAGGACAAAAUA